UACGGGGGGAGCAAGCGUUGUUCGGAUUUACUGGGCGUAAAGGGCGCGUAGGCGGCCACUGCAAGUCAGUUGUGAAAUCUCCGGGCUUAACCCGGAAAGGUCAACUGAUACUGCAGGGCUAGAGUGCAGAAGGGGCAACUGGAAUUCUCGGUGUAGCGGUGAAAUGCGUAGAUAUCUGGAGGAACACCGGUGGCGAAGGCGGCAUCCUGGACCGACACUGACGCUGAGGAGCGAAAGCCAGGGGAGCAAACGGG
rnacentral:rRNA from 1 species